CUGCAUUUCCCAAGACCGCCCUGGCCUGCCACGCCCCUAUAAUGUGCCUUUAAAAGCCCAAGACCGUCGCUAGGCACAGACGGAAGUGACUGGAUGUGGAGAGGAGUGUAUCCGCGAAGGAACGCACAAGUGGCCUGACCUGCAGAAGAACGCUAGCUAGGCACUAGGCAUGCCGGCAAGGUCAGCUGAGAGCUGACCCCAGUGCAACGUGGAGGAGUUUGGUUGGGGCAGUCGGAGGAGCACCUGGGCCGCCAAGCGGCCAGACUUCGGGGGAAAGCCAUCUCUCUUCUGGCGCCUUUAUCGGCAGAGAGCUACUUGUACUCAAAACCUUGCACUCAUUCUCCAAGCCCACGUGGGUAAGAUUCACCCACACUGCGGAGGGCGUCGGAGCUCCACAGCCUGCCUGUCUGUAUGCUCCCAUAGAGGUUUGAGCAGCGGGGCACUGGAGAAGCAAGUCACACCCCCAUUGCACGCCAUGGGAGUAGGACAAGGCAUCAAGGAUGGAGAUGCGCUAAGACUGAUGAUGUACACAGUACAAAUAGUGCAAAUAAGGAUGAGAAUACAAGCCCUGGUGAUUAAAAAAGGAUUCAACAGAGUUGGAUUGCUGAGAAUAAAAUUACGGAUUUCUCCAUAAUGGACACACGCACUUUUUGUUUGUGCUGUUUCCUUUAGAAUGGACGAUGAGUCAAAAUUGUUCGUUUAUGCUUCUUCACAGAAGGAUCUUCUGUGUCGUAGGAGGUGGCCUGCAGCAAUCUGGACAUUCAGUGGUCCUCCUGUGAUUAAUAGGUGAACGGAUGAGCUAUUCUGAUAAGAACUGGGGAACUUUUGCCAUUCAAAAGCAAAUAGAAGAACUGGGAGAUUCCUCAACUUAGCUUUUCUUUUUUUUGGUUCUAAAGUGACUGCGAAUGGAGGUAGAAGAGAAGAAAAGCUUUCAAAAACAUCUUCCAUUAAGAAAAAUAUGUAUCUUCAUGAAGACCUAUCUGAGUAAAAUUACUAAAACAUAAUGGCUUUCUUGAAAUAGAAUGGAAUGAAAGGCAUAUUAGGGAGUAUGAAAGUAUGAAGAUUUUAUUAACAUACUUCUAGAAGUUUAUUAAAUAUCUGCACAGGAACUGUAAUUUGAGAUCAGUGGUGGAAAGAGAAUAAAGGAAUCACGUGGACAUCAGCUCUGAGGCCUGUGGCCCCACUUGCUUCUGGGCUUUCUAUAGACAUUUGCUGGUGACCUGCCCAGGCAGGCUAGAGUACCCUUCCUCAUUGCACCCUGUGUUCCCAUCCUCUUUUCCUUCCUUCCUUCCUUCCUUCCUUCCUUCCUUCCUUUCUUCCUCCAUCCCUUAUGAAACCCUCGUUGUGCAGUUACUUAUUAGGUGCUGUGUGAGCGUCUGAAGUCUCCCCUCACCCACUUUUCCAUUUGGGCCACUUGGCCAGUGAUUGCAUCAGUACCAGGGUUCUAGGAGCCAUGCAGGGAUCCCCAGUGGGCAGAGCUGGCCGUAGCAUUUGGAAAGGAAGAGAGAGAACUGGAGACAAUGCCUAGGAACAAAAGCAGAGUCCAGACCCAGGCAUCAAGUGCAAAUCCAAAGGCUCUGGAUGAGUCAGUUCCCAGCAAAGGGACACAAGUAGGCACAGAAGGAAGGACAGCAGAAAACACUGGUCCAGAGAGGGCCUGCAGAGCCAGAAGCGAUGACGCAUCCAAGGUUGUGUUUGACUUCUGCACUGCCUCUGCAACCUGUAAGCACAUCUGAGCCAGUUCAGAAAGUAGGAAAACCAAAGUAUAUCAGAAAUGGCCUCUUAUCAUCAAGGAGAUUUUGGUCUAGAUUGCUUAUUGCUCAGGAGAAAUCACCACUUUUUAAAAAGAUAUGCUGAGAUAGGGUUUAGUUGGGAUAGAAAAGGUUAUUAAACUACGGGACACCCUUCCUUUACAGAGUGUAAGCACUACUACCCCUUUUGUUUGUCUGUUUUUCUUAUUUUUCUCACAGAUGCAGUUCCUGCAUUAGUAUUGAUAAAUGUGUGGCUGCUCCACUUGGAGUGUUUUCAAAGCAUAAAUCACAGCAUUGAUGGUGCUGUGGUUUGGCUCUUCCAGCCCUCUUAACAACGGUCUGAUGGACUUGGCGAGAGUCUAGCCACGUGUUCUGGCCUCUGUCACUCUCAUGGCUGAAACGCAUGCACACCCACAGAUGGGGGCCCCGUGGUAGAGAUGUGCCUCUACUUGUCAAAUAGACUGACUCCAAAUUCGGAAAUAUGCCUCAGGAAUCUAGAAAGAUAGAAAAGGAGUCUUCGUCACUGUAGGGUCUCAUUCACAAUAUGGAGGAGAGAUGGAGGGGAGUUUUUGGUAUAAAUUUUGCCUCAUAAAAAUUCUCCACGUUGUUUUGUACUGUAUGAGGGUAGCGAGAAAUUAGUUGAUGGUUAACAAUCAAGCUGGAGAAGAAUAUCCUCAAUUUUUCACAUGGAAAAUGAAAAACUACAACUCCUUCCAAAUAUAUGUAUGUUUCUUUUCUGAAGAUAGACGUGUGUGUGUUUGUGUGUAUCAUAUAACAUUUAUUUUUUGAUUUCUUUGUUAUCAACAGUAAAAAUACAGAAAAUGAUGCCAAAGAGAAUUUCUGAUUUUUCUUUCCUUGUUUUCCAUUAAAGUGUAUUACAAAUAAUGUCUUCAAACACAAUAGCAUGCAUAGUGGCUUAAAUUGGAUUCUUCCUGGGCCACUCUGUUUAGGAUCCAGGUUUUUAACAUUGUUCUUCUAAGUGCAUCCAUGUUUCCUGAGAUCCACAAAGCUUGAUCUCAUCCGUGGAACCACCUGGCCUAGAACCAGCUGCG
rnacentral:lncRNA from 1 species